UUCCUGGACUCUGCUGGGAUGGGUUCAAAGUAGAGAAAGUGCAAGAGGGAAGAGUUACCCAGGCUAGAGCGGACAGCGGGCCGCAGGUUUAGUCCUGGCUGUGGAGUGGGAUGCUGAGAUGAGUCUGGAGGAAUGCAGGAUGUUCUAGUCCCAGUUAGGAUGGUGGAUAAGGUCCUCGCUCCGACGAGGAAUGCUGAGCGGGGUCUGGAAUAAUGCAGAAUGUCCUGGUCCGGGGCAGGAAUGAUGGACAUCAGAUCCCUGUGAGGAUAUGAGAGGAUGUUUCCAGAAAGACCUAACUAAAAAGGAAAGUGCAAUCCUGAAUGUGGAGGACAUCCUCCUGUGGGCUGGGCUCCCAGGCUGAAUAAGAAGAAAAUGAGUUGAGCUCUCUCCCUCUUCCUCUCUCUGCUUCCCAACAGCAGACACAAAGUGAUCAGUUACCAGAUGACCCCCUGCUGCGGUGCCUUUUCCCCACCACUAUGAACAGUUCACCCUUAAGCUGUGAGCUAAAAUAAACCCUUCUUCCCUUUUG